GGAACAAACUCCUCCGGAGGCUUCCGUCACAACGCCGCUGGAUCGAACGGCGGUGCUAAGUACAAGCUCAUGACUCCUGCUAUGCUUCCGAUCUCUAGGUCCGCCUGUAUCACCAUACCUCCCGGUCUCAGUCCUUCCUCCUUCCUCGAAUCUCCUGUUCUCCUUUCUAACAUCAAAGCUGAGCCAUCUCCGACUACAGGUUCCUUCUCCAAAUUUCAAACAGUGCAAGGCUCUGGUGGGGCUGCUGCAUUCUUAUUGACAAGAGGUUAUGCUAGUGGCAAUACAUACACUGAAAGAAAAGCAAGCUGCUUUGAAUACAAAUAUGCCGGUGGAUCUAGUUCUACAUCAGGAUCAUUAGCAACUGAACAUGUGAUUUCUACAGGUCUCAACCAACAACACAAUGAGCCAUUGGAAGAAGUUCAAGAUCAAUGUUAUCCUCAAUUGUUAGUACCUUCAUCUCUAGCUAAACACGAGAUGGAAACAUCAAAAGAACUGAGUUUAUCUGCACCUAUUAAUGUUGAUGCUUCAUCAAAAGAAGAGAGUCUAUAUGAACCUAUUAACGUUGAUGCCAUGAAUCCGAGAGGUCAAUCUAGUGCAAGCAUGCAAGGAUCACAUGCAGAUCAUAAAGAUGUAUUAUCCGUAACAUCUGAAAGAUCAUCAGAUGAUGGGUAUAACUGGCGAAAGUAUGGCCAGAAACUUGUUAAAGGAAGUGAAUUUCCGAGAAGCUAUUACAAAUGUACAUAUCCAAACUGCGAAGUGAAAAAGAUAUUUGAGCGGUCACCUGAAGGACAAAUAACAGAGAUUGUUUAUAAAGGUUCUCAUGAUCAUCCUAAACCCCAACUGAGCCGCCGAUUUUCUCCUGGUGCUCUCAUGUCUGUUCAAGAAGAUAAAUGUGAGAAAGAAGUGUGUUUCAGGGGUCAAGAAGUCUAUGUAGAAGACAAGUUCAACACCAAUGUCCAAACUAGUAAAACUGAGCCUAGUAGUACUCCCGUAUCACCUCAGCAAGCGGACACUGAUGGUCUUGAAGGAGCAGGGUCACAGAUGCAUGGCACUAAUGAUGAUAUGGAUGAGGAUGAUCAAUUUGCGAAAAGAAGGAAAAUGGAUGGUGGGAUGGAUAUAACACCAGUGAUUAAGCCUAUCCGUGAACCACGCGUUGUUGUUCAAACAGUCAGUGAAGUUGAUAUAUUGGAUGAUGGGUACAAGUGGCGCAAAUAUGGACAGAAGGUGGUCCGAGGCAAUCCUAAUCCUAGGAGCUAUUACAAGUGCACCAAUGCUGGAUGCCCUGUCAGGAAACAUGUGGAGAGGGCUUCUCAUGAUCCAAAAGCUGUUAUCACCACAUAUGAAGGAAAACAUAACCACGAUGUACCCGCUGCAAAAAAUAAUAACCAUGAAAUGACAGGAUCCUCGCCUGUAACCGGCAGUUCAAGGAUCAGGGCAGGAGAGACCAACUCACUUAGUCUGGAUCUAGGCGUUAGUACUGGAUAUCGUCUUGAUAAUGGGAACAACGGGCAACUUCACACCCUCCAUCACCAAGUUCAAGUUUCACGUUCUGGUAUGAUGCUAGUACAGCCAGCUGCAGUUGCAGCGCGCUAUGGUAUUGUACAUGGUGGUAUGAGCCGAUUUGGAGCUAUAGAUAAUCGUGUUCAAGGACCUAGUUUUGAAACUUUGCCUUUACAACCUUCUACUCAGUCUCUCCAAAACUAUGGAAAGAUACUUCUUGGCCCGUGAAUCGUAUCUACCAUCAACUAUAAGAGCUUAACAAUAAGAAGCCACCAUCUAUAUUUUUUCCUGCAUCUUGGUGGAUUACAAAGAUAUCUCUAGUUGAAGUAUAAAUACUUCUAGGACUCGUCGCGUGAUGCUGUAUAAUACACCUUCACCUAGUGUUCUUUGUGUACAUAUACCUAGAGUAUAUUAGGAAAUGGAUGACGGAGCAAAUGUCGAUCUCCAACAUCUUUC
rnacentral:misc_RNA from 1 species